ACGCACACACACACACACACACACACACAAAAUAAUGCUUGGGCUGCACCAUCGACAUGAGCCGCUGGCACGAGAGCGUCUGCUACCACAGCUGAAGCCAGUACAGCUGCACGAGCUUGGGCAAGAGGUGGGCUCUUCGCAAGAGGCAUCACAGCCAUCAAGAACGCUUUCGCCGUCGUGCCAUGUAGCCGCUGCUCGUCACAGCGCAUGCCCGAUAGGCAUCGACCUCUUCGCGAGCAGAGCCGCAUCAGAUGCACCCUUGCACCCAUCGGCGCCGAAAAAAACGCUUGCGCAGCUGACUCAUCCGGGCCACAUCGCUGGUUGUCCGCCUACCGAGUGGCCGUCGUCGUGCACCACACCGCCAAGCAGCGACGGAGCGGCGAGGGUGUUCUUGUGUGUGGACAACACCAGUGCCGCCACCGCAGCCGCCCCUGCUGCGUCGCGAUAUCCGUCCGCGUGGCAGACGUUGAUGGCGGCCACACAGGCCACCACGACGUACGCGGCGAGCGUGCAGCAAGCGAAACAACUCCUCCGCGACUUUGAGGGCUAUCAGCGCAGCGUCGGUGCGUCACCGCUCAACCACGACCAGCGGCGCGCGAAACUCACACCCGGGUGUCUCGAGAGCGGCAGCGGUUCUGCUGGCACGACGAACUGUCCUCGCUUAGACAUAGAUGCGCUGGGGCAGCGUGGCACACCUUCAGCUACCAUCUCGACCAAGGCGCGUGGGAGCGCACCCAGCUUCGGUACUGGGCAUGCUGCGCAGCCGCCCCAGGCAUCGCCAUCUUCAUCGCCGUCUCUCAGCUUCCCGCUUGACCCCGCUGCGUACGAGCUCGCGAGGCGGCGCUCCCUGCAGGCGCUGCACGACAACGCGCGGGCACGCGCCGCAUACAUUGAUCAGGGGCUGCGGCUCUCACGGGCAGUGCACGCGGCGUUGUUAAAGCGGCCGGGGAUGGCUAUAGACGGCGUGGUUGCUAUGGAGGGCUCAUCAGGCCACCCCACGAGUACCGCAAUGGCACAUCACGAUGGACAGGCGCUUUCGCCCGCUGCGGGGGCCGGUGAUGCGCCGCGGACCUCGAACGCCGCCGCGUCGCCGUCGCUGGCCGCCGCCGGCCAGCAAAAGACGGAUCAGCCGCCUAUCGCUGCGGUGCCGGUAAUGAGCGUAGCGGAGCAGGCGGCUGCCACGAAAGAGGCGGAGCGUGCCCUGUCCCUUCUCUGCACCAUCCGCGCGAUGCGGCGGCAGACGGAGGAGCUGACCGUGCUGCUGCUGCACGCCUGUGGUGAGUAUGGCUGCUGGUCGGUGCCCACCGCCGAGGAAGGUGUUGCCUGGGGGACGAGACGCACGCCGUUGCCUUCUUCACCGCUGCCGAGGCGCGUAAGACACUCGCGGCACCUUUUCACUGACCUGUUCAUGGCAGCACCUCCGGCACCGGCCGCACCUUGCACAUCCCCAUCUGGGUCUCCCGUGGGCGUCAGCGAUGGCCCCGCCAGAGCACAUCUGCUAGAUCUCCGCGCGGCGGAGGAUGCUGACACGGCGCGACUCAGCGCUGCGAGCGUCUUCGCCAAGGAGUCGGCCUGCCGUCGCGAGAGGGCGUGCCGGGCGCUUCGGCAAGCGCUGCAGCAGCAACGGCAGCGAUGGCCGCUGUCCACGGCGGCGGCCGCCACUGUGACCCUGGCUGCUGGCGCUGCUUUCUUGGAGAUGGCUUUGGCACCGCCGCAGCGUGCAGUGCCGCCGCCACCGCCGAUGUCUGUGCAGCUAGACCUCUACGCUGUGCAACAGUGUGCUCUGCACAGUUCGUCUCAUGAGUGGCGACGAGGGGCUGCGCAGACGGCUGCCACCGGUGCUACGAAGACAGAUGGCGCACCAUCAUCGGAGGAGGCAGCGUCUCCGCACGGCUCCUUACAGCAGCUGCUACACACCCUGAGAAGGCAGCGACCCCAGCUCCAGCGCAGCUACGAUGUGCUCCACGCGGCUGCAGGGCAGCGACACCGCACAAACACCCACUCGUGCACUGACGAGCAGCGAGGGGUGCCGUCUCGCGAGACGACCACCGGAGUCACCAAGGCUGUCGAAGCGAGAGCAGUGGCGCACAAGACGCGCGGCACGUCGGCGGCCGCGUCUGAUGCACCACAGCAGGUCGAGGCGCCGCUGCUGCCAUCUUCAUCGCCCCCACUCGCAGUUACGCCUGACACGCUGCGCCACACACCUUCCUCCCUGCCACGGCAGCACUCUUCCACUACCCCCAGCAGCAGCUCACAGGCUUUGCCAUCCUCCGACACGCUGCUGAGCUUGCCUGUGCAGCUGGCUGUAGACCACACGCGGCUGUGGGCGGACCCGCCGACGCCGUUGCAGCGGGCCGAUUUCUCGCGCGCUGCAGCCGCCCCGCCGACGAGCACCGAAAUAUCUGGGAGGGGUGCAAGAAUCCCGGUACAACAGGCGGGUCGGUCGGCGGUGGAGGACGCGAGCUCGCAUCGCGCGAAGGGCAAGCCGGAGCUGGAGGCACGUAUCGAGGUGGAGGUCAUUGGUGGGAAUGCGGGUGGAAGCCAUGCUGCCGCUGGUGCGCCCCCAUCCAACUCGACACAGGUGACUAGUAUGCGGCGCACAUCCUUGUCUUCGUCGACGCCCUUCCCUUCCCCCGCCGCCGUAGAUGCGCGCGGCGGCGUCGUUGGUGCACCGCGAGAGGUAUGUGAGGCAUCAUGGCAACCAUGCGCGAACGCCAUGCCCUCCACGCGCCCCGAGGCAGCACGUGACGUGGCAGUGAAAGAGGGGAAGCUGGCGUCCCAGCAUCAGAAGGAGCGCCGAAGACGAAGGGGCGAUCGAGGAGGCAGUGCCACCGCUGCCGAGCUCGAGGACUCUGUGUGGCGCCACCUCACGCGCUGGAUCUCUCAGCAGCAGAAACGUACGGCGCCUGACGCGGCAGCAUCGUUGUCAUCGCUAGCGCUCAGCCCACAUGACCUCAGCGCUGCUGCUGCGUGGCUGCGCUCGACGAGUCCGCGUUUUGCCAUCAGCCAGACGGUCGCUGCUCCACCUCCGGCGUUGGUGCGGAUCCUGAAACAUGCGUUCCCAGAUUUUGUGGCACCUUCAUCCUGGAACGCUCUGAGGGCGGCCCCGACUGCCGCUGUGGUAGCUGAAGCGGACCAGCCGGACGGAGAUGAAGAGCCACGAGCACCACAGCAGCCGCAAAUCCAACCGCCCUCGUUGACCAUCACCUCUACCACGUCUUCCCAUCCUUACUCUGCGGCGACCUCAUCCGCGCCGGAGGCGGCAAGGCUUCCAAGGCGGCCGCCUCCGCAAACAGCCCCUGAUGGCCCUGCCGUUUCCCAUUCGCCGACGUCGUCGAUGAAGUUCUCUCAGGCUCCUUCUGGAGGAACCGACACUGCGGCCGUUGCGCCUCCAGGCCAGUUGCUCCUUGCACCUGUAGCAGCUGUCAAUCCUCGCCCGGCACCGCUGAGCGCGCCGCUGCCACCGCCGCCGGCGUCAUCGCCCAAGGCCAAGCCGGCGAAGGGUGGCGGCUCUGCGGGGGUGACGAAGCUGCCGCAGCGGCAGCGGCACCGCAACUUCUUCAGUCGUCUCUUCAGGUGCGGCGGAUGAGCAACAUGGGGGAAAGCUGAGGGGAACGCGCACGCAGCGCAUGGGAGGGCGGAGUGCUAGGUGAGGUUCAGCCUCUGUGUGUGCGUGCCUGGCGGAUCGCCACAUCUGUGCACGCACUCUUACGUCUCGUGCCGUCGCCCAUCCAUGGACAGGUGUCGGGCCAGCUCGGUGGCGAUUGCAGUGCUUAGAGAAUGAAGACAGACAUGGAAGAGGCGGCGCUCGAUCUCUGCGCGUGUGCGCGUGAGCCCGAGUGGGCAGGAGCGUGCGGCGGGGGAGGGGGUGGAUAGAGUCAGGCGCAAGCGCAGCGCACGAGUUGGGGCAACCAACGGAAAACCAACGAAUAGCCUUGGAGGAGACACCAGCACAGGACCGCUAACGGCUUCAGCAUCACCAUAACCAUCAUCAUCAUCACCAUCCGAAGGACGGCUAGAUAUUGAAAACAUGUGAAGUUUCGAAACUUACUAGGAAAAGACGCGAUAGACAUGUCUGUUGCUGCGGACGUCGGUCAGCAGGGGCGUCCGUAUGUGCCAGGACGUACUGCUGUGCUUCAGCCCACGAUCACCGCGCUUCUCUCUCCACGUACGCGUGCUGGCUUGCUCGCUGGCGCAUGUGCAUCUUGGCACAUGGGUAGUUGCACACUCCCGACCUAAACCGACGCCUACGUGUGCAGCAGUCGCUCUUCCUUCCCUUUCCUUGGAUUUGCCCACAACUCUCCCUGCGUGUGUCUGCGUGUCGCCACCCUCCCCCCGUCUCUCUCACAUCUCCUCCUCUUCUCGCGCUGCCCAUGCGCGUAG
rnacentral:misc_RNA from 1 species